GACGAACGCUGGCGGUGUGCUUAACACAUGCAAGUCGAACGGUAAGGCCCUUCGGGGUACACGAGUGGCGAACGGGUGAGUAACACGUGGGUGAUCUGCCCUGCACUUCGGGAUAAGCCUGGGAAACUGGGUCUAAUACCGGAUAGGACCACUGCCUGCAUGGGUGGUGGUGGAAAGCUUUUGCGGUGUGGGAUGGGCCCGCGGCCUAUCAGCUUGUUGGUGGGGUGAUGGCCUACCAAGGCGACGACGGGUAGCCGGCCUGAGGGGGUGACCGGCCACACUGGGACUGAGGUACGGCCCAGACUCCUACGGGAGGCAGCAGUGGGGAAUAUUGCACAAUGGGCGCAAGCCUGAUGCAGCGACGCCGCGUGAGGGAUGACGGCCUUCGGGUUGUAAACCUCUUUCAGCACCGACGAAGCGCAAGUGACGGUAGGUGCAGAAGAAGGACCGGCCAACUACGUGCCAGCCGCCGCCGUAA
rnacentral:rRNA from 1 species